rnacentral:rRNA from 1 species
UGCAGUCGAGCGCGAAAGUAGCCUUCGGGCUGCGAGUAGAGCGGCGGACGGGUGAGUAACACGUGGGUAAUCUGCCCUAGAGUGGGGAAUAACUCAGGGAAACUUGAGCUAAUACCGCAUACGCUUUUCGCCCCUUGGGGCGUCAAGGAAAGGUGGCCUCUUCUUGAAAGCUACUGCUCUUGGAUGAGCCCGCGUCCGAUUAGCUAGUUGGUGGGGUAAUGGCCUACCAAGGCGACGAUCGGUAGCCGGCCUGAGAGGGUGAUCGGCCACAAUGGAACUGAGACACGGUCCAUACUCCUACGGGAGGCAGCAGUAGGGAAUAUUGCGCAAUGGGCGAAAGCCUGACGCAGCAACGCCGCGUGGAGGAUGAAGGCCCUCGGGUCGUAAACUCCUGUCAGAUGGAAAGAAAAGCUAAGGGCCAAUACCCCUUAGCCCUGACGGUACCAUCAGAGGAAGCCCCGGCUAACUCCGUGCCAGCAGCCGCGGUAAUACGGAGGGGGCAAGCGUUAUUCGGAAUUAUUGGGCGUAAAGGGCGUGUAGGUGGCUAGAUCAGCCAGAGGUGAAAUCCCCCGGCUUAACCGGGGAACUGCCUCUGGAACUGUCUAGCUCGAGGCCGGGAGGGGGUAGCGGAAUUCCCAGUGUAGCGGUGAAAUGCGUANAUAUUGGGAGGAACACCAGUGGCGAAGGCGGCUACCUGGACCGGUUCUGACACUGAAGCGCGAAAGCGUGGGGAGCAAACAGGAUUANAUACCCUGGUAGUCCACGCUGUANACGAUGGGCACUCGGUGCUGCGGGUAUCGACCCCUGCAGUGCCUUAGCUNACGCGUUAAGUGCCCCGCCUGGGGGAGUACGGNCGCAAGGCUGAAACU